GAAAGGCCGACACAGAUGUUGGCGGCUGGAUGCAUAUACCUGCAUCCCAUUUAAG
rnacentral:ncRNA from 1 species